ensembl:lncRNA
CACAGGUACACCUCCAAUUGACUCAAAUGAUGUCAAUUAGCCUAUCAGACCAGACUGGCCAACAUCCAGUGAUGUUGCAGAGUGCCAAAUUCAAAUACAGAAAUACUCAUGCUAAUAAUACUCAUUAUAAUAAUUCAGAAAAUACAUACCUAUCUUACAUAGGUUUAAAGAUGAACUUCUUGUGAAUCCAACCACGGUGUCAGAUUUCAAAAUUGCUUUACUGCGAAAGCCUACCUUACAAUUAUUUGAGAACAUAGCCCAGCAGACAAAUCAUUACAAACAGUAACCAGCCAAGUAGAAGAGUUACACAUCAGAAGACAUUAAUUUAUUCAAUAAAUGUUCCUUUUGUUCGAUAAAGUCUCUUAUUAUAUCCGAAAACCUCCAUUUUGUUCACGCGUUUUCUUCAGUAAUCCACAUGCGCAAACGCAGUCUCAACAGGCAGACAAAAAAAAUCAAAAUUGUAUCCGUAAAGUUCAUAGAAACAUGUCAAACGAUGUUUAAAUUCAAACCUCAGGUUGUUUUUACCCUAAAUAAUCAAUAAUAUUUCAACCGGACAUUAACAUCGUCAAUAUAAAAGGUAAACAAGAAAGGCACUCUCUCGGUCGCGCGCAUGAAAAAGCUCUGUGACACGGCAGGGUCCACUCAUUCAGUCUAAUCUUACUCCCUCAUUUUUCAGAAUACAAGCCUGAAACAAUUUCUAAAGACUGUUGACAUCUAGUGGAAGGCAUAGGAACUGCAAUUUGAGUCCCAAGUUAAUGGAUACUGUAAUGGCAUUGAAUAGAAAACUACAAAAACUUCCUGAAUGGAUUUCUCUCAGGUUUUCACCUGCCAAAUCAGUUAUGUUAUACUCACAGACAAUAUUUUAACCGUUUUGGAAACUUUUGAGUGUUUUCUAUCCAAAUCUACUAUGCAUAUCCUAUCUUCUGGGCCUGAGUAGAAGGCAGUUUAAUUUGGGCACGCUUUUCAUCCAAAAUUCCAAAUGCUGCCCCCUACCCUAGAGAAGUUAAAGCCAUGAUGUCAUUUUCUGGAAUUUUCCAAGUUAUUUAAAAGCACAGUCAACUUAGUGUAUGUGAACUUCUGACCCACUGGAAUUGUGAUACAGUGAAUUAAGUGAAAUAAUCUGUCUGUAAACAAUUGUUGGAAAAAUGACUUGCGUCAUGCACAAAGUGGAUGUC